rnacentral:rRNA from 1 species
UGGAAGUAAAAAGUCGUAACAAGGUCUCCGUUGGUGAACCAGCGGAGGGAUCAUUACUGA